rnacentral:rRNA from 1 species
AGCGAACGCUGGCGGCGUGCCUAAUACAUGCAAGUCGAGCGAAUUGACAGAGGUGCUUGCACCUCUCGAUUUUAGAGGCGGACGGGUGAGUAACACGUGGGUAACCUACCUAUAAGACUGGGAUAACUUCGGGAAACCGGAGCUAAUACCGGAUAAUAUUUAGCUUCGCAUGAAGAAAUAGUGAAAGACGGUUCUGCUGUCACUUAUAGAUGGACCUGCGGUGUAUUAGCUAGUUGGUGAGGUAACGGCUCACCAAGGCAACGAUACAUAGCCGACCUGAGAGGGUGGUCGGCCACACUGGGACUGAAACACGGCCCAGACACCUACGGGAGGCAGCAGUAGGGAAACUUCCGCAAUGAACGAAAGUCUGACGGAGCGACGCCGCGUGAGUGAAGGAGGUUUUCGAAUCGUAAAACUCUGUUGUAAGGGAAGAACAAGUACGUUAGUAACUAAACGUACCUUGACGGUACCUUACCAGAAAGCCACGGCUAACUACGUGCCGGCCGCCGCCGUAAAAC